rnacentral:rRNA from 1 species
CAGCAGCCGCGGUAAUACGUAGGGUGCGAGCGUUAAUCGGAAUUACUGGGCGUAAAGCGGGCGCAGACGGUUACUUAAGCAGGAUGUGAAACCCCCGGGCUCAACCUGGGAACUGCGUUCUGAACAGGGUGACUAGAGUGUGUCAGAGGGAGGUAGAAUUCCACGUGUAGCAGUGAAAUGCGUAGAGAUGUGGAGGAAUACCGAUGGCGAAGGCAGCCUCCUGGGAUAACACUGACGUUCAUGCCCGAAAGCGUGGGUAGCAAACAGGAUUAGAUACCCCCGUAGUCCCUGUCUCUUAUAC